rnacentral:rRNA from 1 species
GCGGCCUAUCAGCUAGUUGGCACGCGUAAAAGCCCACCAAGGCUAAGACGGGUAGCUGGUCUGAGAGGACGACCAGCCACACUGGAACUGAGACACGGUCCAGACACCUACGGGUGGCAGCAGUCGAGAAUUUUUCACAAUGGGGGAAACCCUGAUGGAGCGACGCCGCGUGGGGGAUGAAGGGCUUCGGUUCGUAAACCCCUGUCAUUGGCGAACAAGUGUUGCAUUCUAAUACAGUGUAACUUGAUAGUAGCCGAAGAGGAAGGGACGGCUAACUCUGUGCCAGCAGCCGCGGUAAUACAGAGGUCCCGAGCGUUGUUCGGACUCACUGGGCGUAAAGGGUGCGUAGGUGGUUGGUUAAGUUUGAGGUGAAAGCUCCGAGCUCAACUCGGAAAAUGCCUUGAAGACUAUCUGACUAGAGGAUUGGAAGGGAGACUGGAAUUC